GGUUUUGAACCACAAAAUCGAAGUACUCCCAAACACAAGCUGGACGAUGAAAGAGAUGCACCAGGACAAUCAACAAUUCAGCCUGGACAGAUAGUAAUAUCUGAUGCUGAGGAUCUGGAUCCACCGGAAGCAAAUCCA